GGUGGCGUGGCACAGUGGUUAAAGCGCUUGGCUGCUAACCAAAAGGUCGGAGGUUCGAACCCAUUAGCCCCUC
rnacentral:tRNA from 1 species